CCUACGGGAGGCAGCAGUAGGGAAUAUUGCUCAAUGGGGGAAACCCUGAAGCAGCAACGCCGCGUGGAGGAUGAAGGUCUUCGGAUUGUAAACCCCUUUUGUUAGAGAAGAAAAUGACGGUAUCUAACGAAUAAGCACCGGCUAACUCCGAGUCAGCAGCCGCGGUAAUACGGAGGGUGCAAGCGUUACUCGGAAUCACUGGGCGUAACGAGCGCGUAGGCGGGAUAGCAAGUCCGAUGUGAAAUCCUAUGGCUUAACCAUAGAACUGCAUUUGAAACUGUUAUUCUAGAGUAUGGGAGAGGUAGGUGGAAUUCUUGGUGUAGAGGUAAAAUGCGUAGAGAUCAAGAGGAAUACUCAUUGCGAAGGCGACCUGCUGGAACAUAACUGACGCUGAUGCGCGAAAGCGUGGGGAUCAAACAGGAUUAGAUACCCCAGUAGUC
rnacentral:rRNA from 1 species